rnacentral:rRNA from 1 species
ACACAUGCAAGUCGAACGGCAGCAUGAUCUAGCUUGCUAGAUUGAUGGCGAGUGGCGAACGGGUGAGUAAUACAUCGGAACGUGCCCUGUAGUGGGGGAUAACUAGUCGAAAGAUUAGCUAAUACCGCAUACGACCUGAGGGUGAAAGUGGGGGACCGCAAGGCCUCAUGCUAUAGGAGCGGCCGAUGUCUGAUUAGCUAGUUGGUGAGGUAAAGGCUCACCAAGGCGACGGUCAGUAGCUGGUCUGAGAGGACGAUCAGCCACACUGGGACUGAGACACGGCCCAGACUCCUACGGGAGGCAGCAGUGGGGAAUUUUGGACAAUGGGGGCAACCCUGAUCCAGCAAUGCCGCGUGUGUGAAGAAGGCCUUCGGGUUGUAAAGCACUUUUGUCCGGAAAGAAAUCGCACUUACUAAUAUUAGGUGUGGAUGACGGUACCGGAAGAAUAAGGACCGGCUAACUACGUGCCAGCAGCCGCGGUAAUACGUAGGGUCCAAGCGUUAAUCGGAAUUACUGGGCGUAAAGCGUGCGCAGGCGGUUGUGCAAGACCGAUGUGAAAUCCCCGGGCUUAACCUGGGAAUUGCAUUGGUGACUGCACGGCUAGAGUGUGUCAGAGGGGGGUAGAAUUCCACGUGUAGCAGUGAAAUGCGUAGAGAUGUGGAGGAUACCGAUGGCGAAGCAGCCCCCUGGGAUACACUGACGCUCAUGCACGAANGCGUGGGGAGCAAACAGGAUAGAUACCCUGGUAGUCCACGCCCUAAACGAUGUCAACUAGUUGUUGGGGAUUCAUUUCCUUAGUAACGUAGCUAACGCGUGAAGUUGACCGCCUGGGGAGUACGGUCGCAAGAUUAAAACUCAAAGGAAUUGACGGGGACCCGCACAAGCGGUGGAUGAUGUGGAUUAAUUCGAUGCAACGCGAAAAACCUUACCUACCCUUGACAUGCCACUAACGAAGCAGAGAUGCAUUAGGUGCUCGAAAGAGAAAGUGGACACAGGUGCUGCAUGGCUGUCGUCAGCUCGUGUCGUGAGAUGUUGGGUUAAGUCCCGCAACGAGCGCAACCCUUGUCUCUAGUUGCUACGAAAGGGCACUCUAGAGAGACUGCCGGUGACAAACCGGAGGAAGGUGGGGAUGACGUCAAGUCCUCAUGGCCCUUAUGGGUAGGGCUUCACACGUCAUACAAUGGUGCAUACAGAGGGUUGCCAAGCCGCGAGGUGGAGCUAAUCCCAGAAAAUGCAUCGUAGUCCGGAUCGUAGUCUGCAACUCGACUACGUGAAGCUGGAAUCGCUAGUAAUCGCGGAUCAGCAUGCCGCGGUGAAUACGUUCCCGGGUCUUGUACACACCGCCCGUCACACCAUGGGAGUGGGUUUUGCCAGAAGUAGUUAGCCUAACCGCAAGGGGGGCGAUUACCACGGCAGGGUUCAUGACUGGGGUGAAGUCGUAACAAGGU